rnacentral:rRNA from 1 species
GACGAACGCUGGCGGCGUGCUUAACACAUGCGAGUCGAACGAAAAGGCCCGGCUUUUGCGGGGUUCUCGAUUGGCGAACAGGGGAGUAAAACGUGAGUAACCUGCCCUUGACUUUGGGAUAACUUCAGGAGAAUCGGGCUAAUACCGGAUAUGAUCUCCUGCUGCGUGUUGGUGGUUGGAAAGUUUCGGCGUUGGGGUAUCGACUGGAGGCAUAUCAGCUUGUUGGUGGGGUAGGGGCUUACCAAGGCUUUGACGGGUAGCCGGCCUGGGAGGGUUGACGGCCACAUUGGUCCUGAGAUACGGCCCAGACUCCUAUCGGACGCAGUAGUCGGGAAGAUUGCACAAUGGGCGGAAGCGUGAUGGAAAAACGCCGCGUGCGGAAUGCCCGGCUAUGGGGUGUAAACCGAUUUCGACUGUGCUGAACAGUGCGUGACGGUAAUGGGUCAAGAAGCCACGGCUAACUACGUG